UGCAAGUCGAGCGAACAGAUAAGGAGCUUGCUCCUUUGACGUUAGCGGCGGACGGGUGAGUAACACGUGGGUAACCUACCUAUAAGACUGGGAUAACUUCGGGAAACCGGAGCUAAUACCGGAUAACAUUUGGAACCGCAUGGUUCUAAAGUGAAAGAUGGUUUUGCUAUCACUUAUAGAUGGACCCGCGCCGUAUUAGCUAGUUGGUAAGGUAACGGCUUACCAAGGCGACGAUACGUAGCCGACCUGAGAGGGUGAUCGGCCACACUGGAACUGAGACACGGUCCAGACUCCUACGGGAGGCAGCAGUAGGGAAUCUUCCGCAAUGGGCGAAAGCCUGACGGAGCAACGCCGCGUGAGUGAUGAAGGGUUUCGGCUCGUAAAACUCUGUUAUUAGGGAAGAACAAAUGUGUAAGUAACUGUGCACAUCUUGACGGUACCUAAUCAGAAAGCCACGGCUAACUACGUGCCAGCAGCCGCGGUAAUACGUAGGUGGCAAGCGUUAUCCGGAAUUAUUGGGCGUAAAGCGCGCGUAGGCGGUUUCUUAAGUCUGAUGUGAAAGCCCACGGCUCAACCGUGGAGGGUCAUUGGAAACUGGGAAACUUGAGUGCAGAAGAGGAAAGUGGAAUUCCAUGUGUAGCGGUGAAAUGCGCAGAGAUAUGGAGGAACACCAGUGGCGAAGGCGACUUUCUGGUCUGUAACUGACGCUGAUGUGCGAAAGCGUGGGGAUCAAACAGGAUUAGAUACCCUGGUAGUCCACGCCGUAAACGAUGAGUGCUAAGUGUUAGGGGGUUUCCGCCCCUUAGUGCUGCAGCUAACGCAUUAAGCACUCCGCCUGGGGAGUACGACCGCAAGGUUGAAACUCAAAGGAAUUGACGGGGACCCGCACAAGCGGUGGAGCAUGUGGUUUAAUUCGAAGCAACGCGAAGAACCUUACCAAAUCUUGACAUCCUUUGAAAACUCUAGAGAUAGAGCCUUCCCCUUCGGGGGACAAAGUGACAGGUGGUGCAUGGUUGUCGUCAGCUCGUGUCGUGAGAUGUUGGGUUAAGUCCCGCAACGAGCGCAACCCUUAAGCUUAGUUGCCAUCAUUAAGUUGGGCACUCUAGGUUGACUGCCGGUGACAAACCGGAGGAAGGUGGGGAUGACGUCAAAUCAUCAUGCCCCUUAUGAUUUGGGCUACACACGUGCUACAAUGGACAAUACAAAGGGCAGCUAAACCGCGAGGUCAUGCAAAUCCCAUAAAGUUGUUCUCAGUUCGGAUUGUAGUCUGCAACUCGACUACAUGAAGCUGGAAUCGCUAGUAAUCGUAGAUCAGCAUGCUACGGUGAAUACGUUCCCGGGUCUUGUACACACCGCCCGUCACACCACGAGAGUUUGUA
rnacentral:rRNA from 1 species